rnacentral:rRNA from 1 species
AACGAACGCUGGUAGCGUGGAUUAGGCAUGCAAGUCGAACGGGAUCCGGGAGGUAGCAAUAUCGACCGGUGAGAGUGGCGGAAGGGCGAGGAACACGUGGACAACCUGUCCAAGGGACGGGGAAAACUCCGGGAAACUGGAGCUAAUACCCGAUAAGUCGCGUCUUGGCAUCAAGGAGGCGGCAAAGGGGGCGAAAGCUCCCGCCCUGCGAGGGGUCCGCGCACCAUCAGCUUGUUGGCGGGGUAACGGCCCACCAAGGCAUACGGUUAGCUGGUCUGAGAGGAUGGCCAGCCGCACUGGGACUGAGAUACUGCCCAGACUCCUACGGGAGGCUGCAGUCGAGGAUCAUUCGCAAUGGGGGAAACCCUGACGAUGCGACGCUGCGUGGAGGAUGAAGGCCUUCGGGUUGUAAACUCCUGUCAUGAGGGAAAAGGCGAGAGUACCCAAUACGUACUUUAGUUGAUGGUACCUCAAGAGGAAGCGACGGCUAACUCUGUGCCAGCAGCCGCGGUAAUACAGAGGUCGCGAGCGUUGUUCGGAUUUACUGGGCGUAAAGGGCGCGCAGGCGGCGCGGCGUGUCGAGUGUGAAAUCUCCGGGCUCAACCCGGAAAGUGCGCUCGAAACUGCCGUGCUUGAGGCCGGGAGAGGGAAUCGGAAUACAGGGUGUAGCGGUGAAAUGCGUUGAUAUCCUGUAGAACACCGGAGGCGAAGGCGGAUUCCUGGAACGGCACUGACGCUGAGGCGCGAAAGUCGGGGGAGCAAACAGGAUUAGAUACCCUGGUAGUCCCGACCGUAAACGGUGCACACUCGGGGUGGGGGGCUUCACCCCCUCCGUCCCUUAGCGAACGCGUUAAGUGUGCCGCCUGGGGAGUACGGCCGCAAGGUUAAAACUCAAAGAAAUUGACGGGGGCCCGCACAAGCAGAGGAGCAUGUGGCUUAAUUCGAUGCAACGCGAAGAACCUUACCCGGGUUUGACAUCAAGCUGCACGGUCUAUGAAAGUAGACCUCCUUCGAGGGUGCUUGACAGGUGCUGCAUGGCUGUCGUCAGUCCGUGCCGUGAGGUGUUUGGUUAAGUCCAGCAACGAACGCAACCCCUGCGGCCAGUUACCAGCGGGUGAUGCCGGGGACUCUGGCCGGACCGCCUGUUUACACAGGAGGAAGGUGGGGAUGACGUCAAGUCAGUAUGGCCCUUACAUCCGGGGCUGCACACGUGCUACAAUGGCCGGUACAGAGGGAAGCGAAGCCGCGAGGCGGAGCAAAUCCCGCAGAGCCGGCCCCAGUUCGGAUUGGGGUCUGCAACCCGACCCCAUGAAGUCGGAUUUGCUAGUAACGGCGCAUCAGCUACGGCGCCGUAAAUGCGUUCCCGGGCCUUGUACACACCGCCCGUCACAUCAUGAAAGCCGUCUACACCCGAAGCCGGGCGACAGUCCGUCUAAGGUGCGGGUGGUGAUUGGGAUG